GGGGAGGGAAUAUAGGGAGGCAUCAGUGCGCUGAUGGUCCAGGUCCAGUGCGCUGACAAGUCUGUUCGCGCGAGCUCUCUUUGCUCCUGGAAACCCCGACACUUAGGUGCUCAAGCCUACCCCACUGUACCGGCGCAGUCCCAACCUCUGACUACAGGGGUCUGAAGCCCCGCCUAUGCACGCUGGGAUUCGUAGUCUUUCUGGCUCGCCGGUCUCAAUCUCAGCUUCUAUUGGUUGACUUAAACGCCACUCCCGAGACCGCACCAAUCAGGGCGCGCAGGUAGCUCGAGUGCGGGGAGCGGCGGCGGUGCAGCUCAAUCUCAGCAGGGCGGAUUCUGGAGGAGGCUGCUUUGAGGCUGCGCAACACCCGGAGUUCCCACGGUUCGGCGGUCACCGCGGCGGUCACCCGCCCAGGUUUUGUAGGGUAGAGAGUGUUAGCGGAGGCCACGGUGAAGACCAGAAGGGCAUCCCGGUACCCAGGGGAGUCACAGUUGUGGUAGGAAGAAAGAGAUUUGAGGCCAGUUAAGAACUGCCCCACACCGUGCCCGGGACGUUGCUUAUUUAUUGGGAUGUGUUGUUCUUGGACAUGUGCAGUAUUCCAUACUGCUGUGCAUUCCUCCUGGGGGGGCUUUCACAGGGGCCUGGACGGUGUAGGAUGCUCACUGUGGAGCUCUGGGUAUGGUCAGAGAUGACGUGAUGUGCAUGAGAAGUAGGAGGCUGCUGCUGGGCCAACCUGGCUGCUGUCUCACAGAGCAUUUGCUAUUUAUAGUAAUGGGGAGGACUUUCGGGAGUAGCUAACAAACUGGUUAGCUACGGGUACAUAAUUACACGUGGCCGGCAGCACAGUGGCUCGUCAGAAAUACAUGCGUAAAGCACUGGGUCACAGCAUUGUGACCGCUCCAGUGAUAGUAGUGAGGGGACAUCGGGCUCUUGAUCUUCCAGAUCCGCCAUUAUAUAUGUGAUGUGGCAUUGAAAAUAUAGGUACUGAGCCGGGCGUGGUGGUGCAUACUUGUAAUCCCAGCAUCCUGGAGGCAGAGGCAGGCGGAUUUCUCUGAGUUUGAGGACAGCCUGAUUUAUAGAGUGAGUCCAGGACAGCCAAGACUAUUACACAGAAAAACCAAACCCUGUCUUGAAAAAACAAAAAAGAAAGGAAAAUACAAGUAUUAAGCUAUCACUCUCUCACUGGAAGUUAUGUCACUGAGGCCUCCUACCAACAGCUUUGAUUCUGUUUGCUUAGGAAUAUAUUAGAUGCUUGUGGUUUCUGUGAUGGUAAAAGAUAAUUUUUUUUAAGGUGAAGUUAUCACUGUACACAUCUUAAAAAUGAGCG
rnacentral:lncRNA from 1 species